rnacentral:rRNA from 1 species
UACGAAGGGGGCUAGCGUUGCUCGGAAUUACUGGGCGUAAAGCGCACGUAGGCGGUCUUUUAAGUCAGGGGUGAAAUCCUGGAGCUCAACUCCAGAACUGCCUUUGAUACUGAAGAUCUUGAGUUCGGGAGAGGUGAGUGGAACUGCGAGUGUAGAGGUGAAAUUCGUAGAUAUUCGCAAGAACACCAGUGGCGAAGGCGGCUCACUGGCCCGAUACUGACGCUGAGGCACGAAAGCGUGGGGAGCAAACAGGG